GUGCUCGCUUUGGCAGCAUAUAUACUAAAAUAGGAAUAAUACAGAAAAGAUUGGCAUGACCCUUGUGCAAGAAUGAGACACAAAUUCAGGAAGCAUUCCAUAUUUUU